UCGUUCCCCUUUCUCAUUUCGAUAAGGCAGAGGAGAGAGCUCGAGCGGCGGAGGUGGGGGAGGUGAUUCCUUCUUUUCAUGGCGAUUCCGAGCUCUUCCAUCGCAGGAUUUUGAUCUCUUCUCCUUUCCUCUUCAUCCCCCGGCUGCCCUGGUUGCUUGUCCUUGUCUCUCCCAUUUUUGCCCGUGCUUUCAUGGCUCUGUAGUUCCAGAUCCAGGUGAUUUGGGGUCUCAUGGAUCCCCGGCAGGUGUUUGUUUUAUCCGCGGGAUGUGCAUGUUGCCGCCAUGGUGUUCUAGUCCACCAUGGUUGUGCGCCUGAGUUUUGGUUAGAGCUUGCAGCGCGCCAUGCGUAGUCCGCCAUGCCGUGGUCUUCUCUUUUUGUUGUGGACGCAGGCCAAAUCCCGCCUGGUUUGGCUUCUGUAGGCAAAAUCCUGGGGCAGUGUUCUGCUUUUGAUGUAAGUUUCUCUGUUGUUGAUGUGGAGGUAGGCAUAGUAGGCGUUAGUUUUCAGCGGUGGAUGCUGUAGCUUGACUCUGAAGAUCGGGUUCUGGUUGUUUGUUGGGGACAUUUUGCCGUCUUCUGGUGUCUUCUUUGGGGUUGUAGUUGUAGUUGUAGAUGGCUGCUCUUGUUUUGAUGUUCUAGCUCCUGAAUUUCGUCAUGUUGUAAUGUAUUUGUUCCCUGAUGUUUGUUCAUCCCGCUGGUUACUGAAUUUCUAUGUUCCAAAUGUUUCCUUUCUGCAUCUUCCUGAAUUUUCAUGCUUGUUUUUCAGUGUUCCCCUAUAAUAGGAGUGUAUGUUACACCGAGAUAUACAGAGUAUCCGCAUGCAGUUCUGUUGUGCAAUUUUUAACCCUAUUAGUUGCCCUAUAUAGAUUCCCUGUACCUUGUCCUGUAGAGCUUCACUGCAACCUCAUGCGUUCAGUGGUUUUGCCAUAGUUUCAGAGUAAUUUGUUUCAGUAGUCUGUAUGUAGCUUUUUCCUGUUUUUUUUAGUAAGCCCUAGUUUAUGGUGUAAUUUCCCCGUAUUAAACCCCUACUUUAGUGUACUCAGUGUAGCUUGUUGUUGCACUUUUUCGAUGUAGUAUAUCCCGUAGUUGGUUUUGUAGCCCUGCAUUUUCAAAGUGUAACCCCCCCCCCCCCCCCUUUUACUGUGGUGUAAAUCCCCGCAUAGGUAAUGUGUAAUUUGUUCUAUAGUUUCAUUGUAACCCUACACUCUUUCUCAGUGUAAUUCCCCCCUAAUUUGUGGUGUAAUUUCACUGUAAUCGCAUGUAUAAUUACACUGUAAUUUGUGCUGUAGUUGCAGUGUAAUUUUCUCUUAAUUUAGCGGCGUAAAUCCCUCUAUAACUAUUGUGUAGUUUGUCUUUGUUUUUUCACUGUAAUCCGAUGCAUAUUUACAAUAAGUGGUGUUAAUUUUACAGUGCAAUUUUCACUUCAUUUACAAUGUAAUUUUCUCUUGAUUUAGUGGUGUAAAUUUCUCUAUUAUUACUGCUUAGUUUUACCUGCUUUUACAGUGUAAUCCGAUGCAUUUUUACAGUGUAAAUUUACCCUUAUUUACUGCAUAGUUUGGCCUGCUUUUACACUGUAAACUGAUGCGCUCUUACAAUGUAAUGUUACCCUUAAUUACUGCGUAGUUUGGCCUGCUUUUACACUGUAAUCCGAUGUGUUUUUACAGCGUAAAUUUUACCCUUAAUUACUGCAUAGUUUAAACUGCUUUAUAUUGUAGUCAGAUGCCUUUUUACAGUGCAAAUUCACCUUAAUUACUGUGUAGUUUGUACUGCAGUUACACUGUAAUCCGAUGCCAUUUUACAGUGUAAAUUUAUAAUUACUGUGUAGUUUGUACUGUAGUUACACUGUAAUUCGAUGCCCUUUUUACAGUGUAAUUUUACCCAUAAUUAUUGUGUAGUUUGUACUAUAGUUACACUGUAAUCCGAUGCCCUUUUACAGUGUAAUUUUCCCAUAAUUACUGUGUAGUUUGUACUGUAUACAUUGUAAUCCUAUGCCCUUUUACAGUGUAAUUUUACCCAUAAUUACUGUUUAGUUUGUACGUUACUGUGUAACCCCACAUAUUUUCUUACAGUGUAAUUCCCCAUAAUUGCACUUCCAGUAUUUUUUUCCCAUAUUCACCGCAUUUUUCAGUGCCUAGUUCAUGCUUAUUUUCUUUGUUUUUUUGUCCUAGUAUUUUCUGUGCAAUCAUCACUAUAAGCCCAGUUUUGUCUUCCGUAUCUAUAUAAUUGAGCCCCAUUUCUUUGUUGUUUUUCAGCUAGUUUCUUAAUGGGUAGACUACGGAAAGUCUAUCCCAAGGAUGUUCCGCUAGUUUCUUCAGUUGAGAGUGCUGAUUCUUUGAAAGAUCCUUUCGUGCCUAAUGAUUUUGCUGAUGAUGGUUCUAAUGCUAUGUCUUUGAUUGUUCUGGUGAUGAUGAAGAGUUUGAUAAAGCUCUAUACAAUUUUUAUGUGAAUAAUAAAGUCAAUUACCUAAAGAGGAAAUUAUCAUCUGCUAGUAGAAGGAAUGUUAGGCAGGAACGAUCUUCUGAUUUCCCCGUUUGUUCAACAUUCACUAGAUAUUCUGGAUUUUUAGUUCUGUGUUGCACUAUAUCUUUGGUUACCUCAUCAUCUUUAUUUCUCAGCGUAUAAUAAUUGUUUAUAGCUACUUUUUCGUAGUUUAUUAUUUUUCAUUUUGCAUUCUUCUAUUUUAAUUUAGUUGUCUCUUCUUAUUUGUUGCAGUGUUGUUUUAUAGUUCUAAAGUUCUUGAAGAAUUGUUCAAACAACUAAAUCUUUUUGAGUGGCUACAAAGGGCUGCCUCCCAGGGAUUAGCUUCUGCUGCUACCUCUUCGCCUGUUGAAUCAUCUUCAUGCAUUUCUUGCCAUGUCUGCAGAGUAGUUCAACUUAUACUUUGUUAUUUCUGGGCAUUUGUAACUCACAUUUAGUAUGAGGUCUUCUAGUGACAUUGAUAGUAGAUCUUCUCCAGUUAUUGCUCGUUGCUUGCUGCCCCCUGCAAUUAAGUUUGAAGUAAUGUCAGUACAAUUGCAAAAAAUUGAAGAACAACACUGAUGGACUUUCUUAGCAACGCUCCGUUUGUUAGUAUUCGUAAUUGUUUUUCAGAUUGUAUAGUGUAUUUGUAUGCAGAGAGGUAAGUGUAUUUUCUUCUUUUUUAGUGUGUCCUGAAUUGUUCCUUUUGAGGAUACUGAAAUGUUGUUUUUAUCUAUUGAAGUUUUCAGUUUUCUCUGAUCAUGCCAAAUAUGCAGCUAGAUACCAACAGAUGUAUGCCCAAAUAUAGGAAAAAAUGGAAACGCCGACAAACAUUAUAGGAUUUCACUGGAUGUAUGUUCUCAGAGGAGUGUUUUUUACAGUGUAUUCCUGUUUGAUUUCAUCUUACCAGCACUCAAAACAGAGGUGGAAUAGUUCUGCUGUAGCUUGAGGAGUUGAAGAUUUUCAUGUACCUGCGAUUUGUCUCUGGGAUGAUCUUGUUGUGAUCCCCAAGUGACUGCUUGUGUUCUUCUUCCAGGUGAUUUUGUUCUCCACGAAAAGGAAAGGACAGGUGGCCCGAUCAGUUAUACUUUUGUUGCUGUUAGUUGCUUGACGGGUCAGAUUUUCAGCCCGACCCGUUUUCUUCGGGAAAAACAUACAUACAUACAAUUGUCGUAGGUUUUUUCAAUAACAGCUGUCAAUAGCUGAUUGGUUGGAAAACUUGAAUGAUAUCUAAUUACAAAUCAGUCGAAUGCCAAAUAGACAGUCCCAAAUUUAAA